rnacentral:lncRNA from 1 species
UUUAUCUGGGAAGCUAAAAAUUACCAUUACUCACCAAGAGUCAGUCCUCAUAGAGGAUCUUUUCCAUAAAGUAUGUUUGUUGUUGCAUGCAUCAAUUUCAAGGGAUUAAAGUAUAUUUUACCUACAAGAGAGUCUUCAGCUCUUGAACUCCAGGAUUCUCACCAGUGGCCAACAGUUUCUCAGACCUUAGGUUUUGAAUUGAGUUACGUCAUCAGCUUUCCUGGUUUUAAGGCUUUCAAACAUGGAUUGGCUUCUCUGAUUCUCCAGUUUGCUGACAACCUAUCCUGGGACUUUCCUGCCAUCAUAAGUGAGACCUGUGAAGAAUUCUACCUUCAGACAACUGCUCAACUGGAUUGAAUCUGGGAGAAGAAGAUGGGGGCAUUAUUUCUUGACAGCCACCUAGAUUCCAACAGCAUCAUGCAACAAAUGGUACUAAGACCUUCAGAACCCUUGAAGAGCUAAUCAGCACUUAUGCAUGAAGGCAAUGUUCUAAACCUUAGUGGUCAGGAAAUGUUUGAGAUUUGAAACAGUUGUUUGAAGUUGAGGCAGAAAGUAAUAAAGAAUACUAAAAUUAUCAAAGAAACACCAAACACAAAUCAAUAGCAUCCAAAUGAGCUUUACCUUUAUAGCUGGUACUCUUUCUGUCCUCUUUUCUGCUUCCUAAGAGAUGUUUUUUGGUGAUUUGGUCCUCCUAAGUGCAUGCACAUUGGACAGGAUAGUAUGAGUAUGAUUAGAGUGUAAGCAUGACUAGAAGCACAA